rnacentral:rRNA from 1 species
AAUACGGAGGGAGCUAGCGUUGUUCGGAAAUACUGGGCGUAAAGCGCACGUAGGCGGCGCAGCAAGUCAGGGGUGAAAUCCCGGGGCUCAACCCCGGAACUGCCUCUGAAACUGCAGUGCUAGAAUCUUGGAGAGGCGAGUGGAAUUCCGAGUGUAGAGGUGAAAUUCGUAGAUAUUCGGAAGAACACCAGUGGCGAAGGCGACUCGCUGGACAAGUAUUGACGCUGAGGUGCGAAAGCGUGGGGAGCAAACA